UCGGUCGUUGAUGAUGCCUUGAUUCUCUGUCGAGUUUCACGACACUGAGAUUACUUCAUGCACUACCAUCUGAGACCAA
rnacentral:snoRNA from 1 species